rnacentral:rRNA from 1 species
UGCCAGCCGCCGCGGUAAUACGGAGGGUGCAAGCGUUAUUCGGAAUUAUUGGGCGUAAAGCGCGUGUGGGCGGUUCGUUAAGUCUGAUGUGAAAGCCCGGGGCUCAACCCCGGAACUGCCUCUAAUACUGCUAGUCUUGAGUUCGAGAGAGGUGAGUGGAAUUCCGAGUGUAGAGGUGAAAUUCGUAGAUAUUCGGAGGAACACCAGUGGCGAAGGCGGCUUUCUGGACCGAUACUGACGCUGAGACGCGAAAGCGUGGGGAGCAAACAGGAUUAGAUA